UUGAUAAAACCUGCAGGACACUACCCCACAU
rnacentral:tRNA from 1 species